UCUAAGUUUGAUGGCGACCGGCGCACGGGUGAGUAACACGUAUCCAACCUGCCGAUGACUCGGGGAUAGCCUUUCGAAAGAAAGAUUAAUACCCGAUGGCAUAGUUCUUCCGCAUGGUAGAACUAUUAAAGAAUUUCGGUCAUCGAUGGGGAUGCGUUCCAUUAGGUUGUUGGCGGGGUAACGGCCCACCAAGCCUUCGAUGGAUAGGGGUUCUGAGAGGAAGGUCCCCCACAUUGGAACUGAGACACGGUCCAAACUCCUACGGGAGGCAGCAUG
rnacentral:rRNA from 1 species